CUUCCCCUUCCUCUUGGUCAUUUAGACAAUCAAUAUAUGGAGCUUUUUACCCAUAUUUUGUUAGUUGCUUUUCUUUCAUCGGUUCAUUUGUUAAUCUACUCCAGCUUAGCUUUUGUAGCCAAUCCCAACACCGAUCUUACUUCACUUCUUGCCUUGAAAGCCCAUAUCACAUCAGAUCCCCACAAUUUAUUGUUGAAAAACUGGACUACCCAAACAUCCUUUUGUAACUGGAUCGGAGUAACCUGUGAUCCACUCAAUAACCGUGUGACCGAGUUGAAUAUUUCCAAUAUGCAACUCGUCGGAACCAUUACACCUGAAAUUGGAAAUCUUUCUUCUCUCAUUUCUCUAGAUAUGAACGAGAACUCCUUCUACGGUCCCAUUCCGGCCUCCAUCUUCAACAUCUCAUCCAUACAAGUAAUAACUUUGAGAGGUAAUGCUUUGUCAAGUCAGCUGCCAACCGACAUGUGCAAACACAGCCUUCACAACCUCAAGUUACUUCGAAUAUCGUUCACUAAGCUGUAUGGAGAAAUACCAUCGAGCCUGGGCCAAUGUUCAAGCCUUGAAAAGCUUUCCUUGUACAACAACAGCUUGGUAGGAGAGGUGCCUAAAGAGAUUGGGAACUUGACACACCUCACUCAGUUAUUUCUUGGGUUCAACAGUUUAACUGAUGAUAUUCCAGAAGAGAUUUUUCAUCUUCACAAGUUAGAAUCAUUGUGGAUGGAAUCAAACAAAAUUACUGGACCAUUACAUCCAGAAAUCGGGAAUUGGACAUCCCUUCGAGAAUUAAUCCUCUACAAUAAUAAAUUAAUAGGUCAUAUUCCUACUCAGAUUGGUCAUCUUCAUAAUUUAGAAAUAUUAAGCAUGGCGUCCACCGGGAUUAAUGGAUCUAUUCCAAAAGAGAUUGGGAACUUGACGGCCCUUCGUUCUCUAUACCUCGAUAACAAUGCAUUGAAUGGUGUUAUUCCACAUGAGAUUGGGCAGCUUAAUAAUUUACUAAUUUUGUCUAUUGAUUCGAACAAGUUGAUUGGCACUUUACCGUCAACCUUUUUUAACAUGUCUUCUGCAAAUUAUGUUUCAUUAAGUCAUAACACACUUAGUGGGACAUUGCUAAGAAACAUUGGAAACAUGAAAGCACUCCAAGAAUUAUACCUCAUCAACAAUACUUUGACCGGUGUGAUUCCAGAAGAGAUUGUUGGGCUUGAUAAAUUAAUUGCUUUAUACAUGAAUGACAACAAGCUCAUCGGACCUUUGCCUCGAUUCACUGGGAACAUGAAAUCACUUAUAGCAUUAUCUCUAAACAAGAAUGCUUUGACUGGUUUCAUUCCUGGAGAGUUGUUCAGUGCCAAUAUUAAGAGUAUUGAUCUCUCUGAUAACCAUUUUCAAGGCUCCAUACCGCCAACGAUUGGAAGAUCCCUCAACUUAAGUUAUCUCAACUUGGCGAAUAACAAUCUCUCCGGCCCUAUACCUUCCGCCAUUUGCAAAUUGAGAUCCCUCCAAUUCCUUGAUCUAUCAAACAACAACCUGCGGGGACCACUUCCAAAGUGUUUAGAAGAACUCGGUAAAUCCUUGAAGGGUUUUGCAUUUGAAGGAAAAUAGCUUUGGUGGCCAAAUUCCACCAUCAUUUCCAAAGGGCUGUGCUCUCGAGUCUCUCAACCUCAACAACAAUUACCAGAAAGAACAUAGCUUGGAAGGGCGUAGCGGAGAAGAAGCUCACAUAGCUAUAAAUGGAUAACUAUAGAGGAUGGGAAAGAAGUGCAAAUAUCUACGAAGUUCGGGAUAACUGUGAAGGAUGGGCACCCAUCUGUUAUAGCUCCUAAUAUGCCGCCCCUGCUGCCUACCACGGCCAAGAAAAUAAAUCAUCACAAACUACGCGGUCGCAAGCUAUUAUCGCUCCUGGCUUUGCCUGAAACGGAGAGAAAACACUCCACCAUUGCCUCCAACUCCUAAGCUACCUCCUUCACCACCUUCGACUCAAAAAGUAUUUACACAAGAAUUGGCUCCACCUCCUGUGCCUGGUCCGCCGUCGUGCUUCCCCGAGUGUAAAUGAUAUGCUCUUCUAUUUUGUAGAAACUCUUGUAUUUUGAAACCAAAUGUAAAUGAUAUGCUCUUCUUUAUUG